rnacentral:rRNA from 1 species
AAAGUUUUAAGUUUUAUGCUAGUUUAUUUUAAGACCAAUAAUAUUCGUCACAUUUUAGGAAUAGAUAAUAAUAA